AGUGGACUACAGAGUCAUGUGGGAGCUUUGAAAAGAUCAUUUAAGUGUGUGUUCCUGCUCCAACCUCACAGUCACAUCAUCCAAUCAGAAGACGGAGAGAAAAAAAACUGUGAGAGAGUCAGAUUCUCACUUUACUGACAUUUAAAUCAGUCAGCAUCGCCAUAGCAACGUCAAACC